rnacentral:misc_RNA from 1 species
UUAAGUUCAGCGGGUAGUCCUACCUGAUUUGAGGUCAGAGUCAAAAAUUGCCCGAGGGCGAUUGUAAGCAGUCAUCACAACCUUCACCGACGAAACUUAUUACGCCGACUACGGUGCUAUCCCGCUAAGUCUUUUAAGGCGAGCCAGACAAGCUGGCAGCACCCAGAUCCAAGCCAAUAAGAAACCCUAUUGGUUGAGAG